GCGGAGCCGCCACGUUGAGGGAAGUUUGCCCCGUGUUCCCCCCCCUCCGCCAUCCCCAGCUCGCCCGCGGGUGUUGUGACUUCGCACAGGACCCCACAAAUCCCAGCGCACGCCGCCGGCAGCCCUGCGGGGAGCUGCGAUCCCGGCCAUGCCCCCCUGGCCUGCCCUUAUCCCGGUGACACUCGUGUCCUCCUAUUAACCCUGUGGAGAGGGGACAAAAGCUAAACUGUGAUCCUGCGCUGUUUCCCCCCCAUCCCGCUGCCGGCUCCAUGAGCUUCACAUCCUCCUGCUAAGGCUGAAAGGAACAAGAACAAGAGCUGCUGAUGGUUGUAAGGCCUCGCUCGGUUCUCCCCACCCCCUCCGCCAGCACCAUCCCCCACUGCAGCUCCCAUGGACUCGUAUCCCUCCCAUUAACGCUGGAAGGGGAGGACAGGAGCUCUGAUGGGUUUUUCUCAGGCUUUACUCUGUUUUCUCCCCCCACACACCGACCAGCACCAGCUCCACAGCCCUGCAGAAGUGCAAAGCUGGCUCUGCUACCACAUCCAUGAAUGCCCCUUCCCUCUGAGCUCCAAGGAAAAGGGAAAAAAAACCACCCUGAUUCCCCACGUUUUGCUUAUUCAUUAUAAGCGGUUGGCAGUGUGCUGUUAAAAACGUGCGAUCUCUUGUUUCAGAAGCAUCUGUGCUUUAAGAAUAAGGUUUUGUCUUCUUGAAUGUGGCUCUUCAUAAUAAUCUCUUGAAGUGCUCCAUUUUUGUCCUUAAAGUUCUAUUUUAUUACCUCUUCUGGAUCAACGAAGGUCGGUUUAACCCUUUAGAGAUGAAAAUCAGCAGCCACUUUAGGAAAACGUUGCCCUUCUCUUUAUUAAUUCAUGGUUACAAUAAUAUUUUAUGGAGGAUUUUUUUUUCCCCAGCCUAGUCCUGCUGCAUGCUGAAGGAAGUGUGUGCUUCAGCCCUGAUUAAAGUCAUGUAUGAGUUAAUGAGAAGCUUGCAGAGUAUGUGAAGCAAGAGAAAAUCUUUAACCAGCUCUGCUGUUCCUUCUACAUACCAUAAACUUGCACGCUGUAACCAGAAGGUGGAUUGAAUAUGUGUGAAAUGCUGCAGUAGGAGACUCUUAAAUCGCAUCACAGGUGGAUGCUCACUCAAUUAAUAUGUUAUCAUUUCAGAAUACCUUGAAGUUAGGUGGGUUUCUUGAAUUUUUUUUAAAGUAUUUUGAGACUUCCCAUUUCUACAUACAUAGAAAUGGAUGAAGGAUGCUAUAAGCUCACAAAGUAUUGUUUUGUGGGUGGAUUUUUAAAUGUUGAGCAGUCUGUGUUCCUCUGUUCUCACUGCUUCCCGGGUUAAUGGAUUGAUAAUGCAGGAGGGGACUCUGAGGUGCUGGAGGAACCAGCAGUGGUGUCAACAUUCCAGUUGUGGGACUUCUAAUUUAAGAAAUGUAUUGUCAUAAGGAAUAAGAUCAAGGCUGAAUCCUGCUUGCAUUUAGGUCCAAAUACAAAAUGCGCUUUGGAAGGAGUCCCCAGGGAGCACUGAGAGUAAUUAAGUAAAAAUAAAACCUUUCACUUCAGGCCCCCCUUCCCCUUUUAACAUAGACAAGUCAGUGCAAUGCUGGUUUCAUUCCACCAUUUUCAUUAUGUGUCCUGAUAUUUCUUAAUUUUGUAUUGCAGCUGAAAUACUCGGGUGACUUAUAAUUUCAGUGAUUUGGGGGUAUUUCUAGACCAUACUUUUAAAGAAGUCAUCUCGCUGUGUCCCAGAAGGAGCCAUUGAGCAGUCGUUCUCAUAAACAGCACUGAACUUCUUACAGCCUUGCCUUUCCAAAUACCUUUUUUUCCCCCUGUAAUUUUCAUCCUUAACUGUUGAAUUCCCUUUUCUUUACAUUAAGUAAAUAUUUAUUAGUACCACUUGGAUUUUUUUCAUCUUUUUAGAAGAACAGAGCGUUGUCACUGAGACAAUCCUUUCGUAUUGAGGAGGUGACAUAAAAAAGGAGUGAAGGAGAGUUGUCUUGUGCUGGGAAAUGCCAUUUUUGGAAAACAAUACUAUAGGAAAUGGAAAUGAAAAAUACAUUUUAUGCUGGUGGGAACUUGUAAUGAGGCUAAGAGAGGAUUUGGUGUCUCAGAAAAGCAAUGAUUACAAGGGGAAAAGCGGGACUUUAUCAUCCAUUUGUAGAAGUUCUCGGGCUGAAUAUCCUUUUGGGGAGCUGAAAUUUGGCUCAAGUCUGUUUAUGAACAUCUGUUGAAUGGAAUUUUAAAAAGGCACAGUUUAUAAUCUUAGCUUCUGCUGGCUGUUUAAGAUGAUAAAAUAAAGCAAAAUCAAUGUAUCUGCAAGUACAUUUUGGGGUUUGUUUUGUUAAUGAUGAGCUGCAUGAGUGUUCAGUAGUCUCUACUGCCAGUUAUUGGGCUCUAUAUGUGUUCCCAUAGAUUUCUCUAUAACAUAUAAAAUAUUGCCUCUACCCCUUUCUGUAGCUGUCUAAUUCCAUUUGAACACUCCUAGAAAGCAUUCAAGCUUUUGCAGGGUGUUUUGUUGUGCCAGGAGGCUCUUGCAUUUUGGCAAUGUGUGUGACAUUUCUUGCAGCAGGAGCACAGCGCUGUGUUUGGAGGGCGAUGCUGAGAGCUGUUGGGUAUUCCCAGAACUGUGGCCGUUUGCUUCGAUUCACAUCCUGCCCACCUGUCCUCUGCCUGGGCUGUAAAUGCAACCACUUUGUGUCCCCUGGCUCUGGAUAGCACCACUUCAGCUUCUAUUUCUGCAGCAUUUGUGACCUCCUCUUAUUCAGGGAGGACUUCACUGUAAUUUUCCCUCCUAUUAUUUUGCCUCUUUUCACAGCCUGAUGUUUUUUUGCUGUUGUUUUCUAUUCCAAGCGAGGAUGCUGUGAGUGCUUCAGCUCAAAAUUUAGGUCAUCUCCAAUAGAGGAAGGGAGACCUAAAAAGUAAAAAUAAGAUUUCAAUGUGCCUUUAAAAGUGACAACUCUUUGGGAAAAAAAUGUACAAGCUCACCUGUAUUUUGUGGCAGGACAGAAAUAGAAGGGGCCUUUCCUGAUUCCAGAAUGAAAGCUAAGUGAGUCUCUCUUUGUGAGUGUGGUUUCUUUUCCAUGUGCUUUCCUGGUCUUUCAUUUUCACACCUGAUUUGAGCUUUAAUCACUCAAAUUAUUCAUAGACUUGCCCUGGAAAAAGAAGAGAGUGACCUCUUCCCAUCUGGAGUAGAUGGGUUCAUCACCAAGAAUUGUAAAUGAAUGACUUAAUAUUGGGGUUUGCACUUAAAAUUUUUAAUUCUGUGGUUUCAUUGCCUUUCAGGAAUUCUGCACGUUGUCUUUUCUGAACUGGUAUGUUGGAGUUGUACCACAGAGAUUUAUUUCUUGACAUUUAUCUCUUAGCAUUGGGCUCCUGUCUACAAAGAGCUGAUGAUCCCCUGAGCUGCUCAUCUGCCAAAGCACCUUGCCCAGGACCAGGCCUGUGAGUUAUUUUUUUUGUCUGUAAUUAUAUCCAGUGCCUUCCAUGACAAGGAACCUCAAGACAAUAUAUGAAAUCAACAGCCACGAAAGCACUGCCCGCUGCAAGUUAUGUGAUUACAAUUUAGCUGUCCCUCAGCCUGAGGGUGCCUGAGGGGACACACAGCCAACUGCUCCUCAGUUCCUGUGGGUGGCUGGAGUCAGCCACUGGAAUUGAUAGAUAUCUGUUGCUCUUUCUUUCCUGUUACUUUAGUGGCUUAAUUUAAAUUAAUAAGGAACUUGUGAAUCUGUUUUGUUUGGUUUCUGCUCUUCCUAGCAGCUCUCUGCAGUUUUAUAUGUAUUAAAAGUGCUAAGCUUCCUCUGGCCUAGAUGUACAAUAAAUACCUUAGUCAAUGCAGUUAAGUCCAGUUUCCUCUAUUCACUCAGAAGAGAUUUGUUCCUUAUCUGAAUUGUUCCUCCAUUCAGAAGGAGAGAAGCCUUGCGCAGCCAGAGCUCACCUCAUAAAUCACCCAGACAAAUGGAGCUUGGGGCAGAAGAAGAUACAAAAUGGGAAUAGUUGUGAUUUAGGUUUGUGGAGUUCUGCUGUGGGAAUGUGCUUACCAACUGUUUGAAAUACAAAUGUUUAGAAUGGUCACCAUUUUCCAGCUAUUCUUUCAGCUGAAUUUGCAGUUAUCAGCUGGGCCCUGCUCCUCAAGGGUGCCUCCCUGCACCCUUAAACAUCUUCUAAUAUUUGGUGGCUUCUCUUUAACAGUAUUGGUCUUGUAUUGAUAAUUUUUUUAUCAGGUUAGAAAGAGCUGCUUGGUCUUCACCAGGCCCUGCUCUGAUGCACAGAUAUGGCACAUUCUACUCACUGAUUUCUUUGGCUCUGUCAUGGCAGAGGUGCUUCCAGCAAGCAAUCAGUGCAGCCACAGCAGCUCAGAGACCUGGACUGUGGGCCCUGGAGCAAGCCAUGAUAACACACAGCUUACAUCCCCUCCCAACCCCUGUCACCCUGUUUCUGCUGCUCACAACUCUUCUGAUGACACCAAGCUUCUCUUUGCUUGGUCUCCUGCCUAACUUAAACAAUUCAUCUCAUUUGUGUUCAAUAUAAGGUUAUUUUCUACUGUUAGCUCCUUCAUAAUGUCUUCAUUGCUUACAGUUCUGAAGAGUUGGUAUCUUUUCUAUUCCAAGAAUAUUUGAUAAAUACAUUUGUUGGCACCUGUCCUUGUUUCCCUCCACUCCUCAUACUCACUCUAAGGACCCUUCACAACAAUCUCACCUCCCUCAGUAAUAAGGGGUCCCUCUACCAGAUUAGAGCUUCCUGUUGGUGUUGUGUCAUUUCUGAGCAAGAAAAGGCUGAUACCUUUGAGCUCAGUGGUUGCUUCAUCUCCUCAGCUCUCCCAGGGGUCUUGCAGGCGCUUUCAGUUCUGCCUCACGUCUUUGAUUUGGUGAGGUUCCCUGCUAUUUACAUUUCUUCACAUAUAUCCUCUUCAUACCAUCUGCUACCUUAUGUUUUGCUCAUCUCUGAAAUGUAGUGACCAUAUUUCAUGCAAUGUUGUUCUACAUGAUUUUCUUAAAAUUUAAUUAAAAGGUUCUGAAAGAACAAAGCAAAUUAGAAUUCACCCAUGUUGUGCAGACACUUUAAGUGAAUGGGAAGCAUCUCAAUAAAGACCUUCAAAUGCCUUGAAUGAAUUUGUAACCAAAAUUCUGUGCAGUGUUUAUCCAAAGGGUCUAUUAUUGGAUUAAUUAGGAGUUUGAUUACUGACAAAAGUUAGGGUUGUUAUUAAAGAACAGCAUCUUCUCUAGAAACUCUUUCUUUGGAAUUCAGCAGUUCUCCUGAGUAGUAUUUACUUUGGAGUGAGUGUGUGGCUGUGCCUUGUUAGAUAAAAGCUGUAGCACUAAAACUGUUUUACUGAACUUAGCUCCUGACCUGCCUUCUGAGGCCACAGCUACAAAGGGAUGAUACAUCAAUCUAGUUUGUUUGAUCUAAUUACAGCUGUUUAACCAUCCUGAGCAUAAGUGCACUCACCCCACUUUGUUAUGCUGAUUUCAGGUAUUUUCACUGUUAAUCGGGUGCACAGUGCUUGGUUCUUUCUUCUAUUAAUUUACCUCUCAAGAUAUUCUGGGCAGUUAUCCCACAGAGAGGUGUUCUGCUACUCAGCUGUAUGUUAUUUUUCACAAUGUGUUGACAGGGAAUUCUCAGGAAUUUGGGGAUUCUGUGGGUCAACCUGACAAAUGACUACUCCUUUUCUCCUGACAUCCAUUGGUUUUUUCCCUGUGCAAUUUCUUUUCUGAAAGGCUGCAAGGUUCAUGAAGAAGAAAGCGAUAAAUCCAUUAAAACAUCCCUUAACAUGCAGAAGCCCAUUGCCACCUGUGGAAGAGCAGAUUUCUGAUUAUUUCUAACUGAAAACUCUGGGGUUUAUGUCAAGAAUAUUGUCAUGGGAUUUUCUUUUCAUGUAUAUAUAUUAUUUGUGUUUGGCUUAAGAAAUUACCUGGAGUUUUUUGCAUGUACGGUCUGUGGAUCAAACAAGGGUUGUGGAGCUUUGAGGAAUAAACAUGGUCUAUCUCCUCUUCUGUUUCCAGUGCCCACAAACUUUGGAUUACUGACCUGUCCUCUAACAAAACGGACUACUGGCAUUUUGUCCCCUCUCAAUUCUACCAUGAGCUCUCUCCUUUUUAUUUUCUCUUCUUUUUUUUUUUUUUUUUCCCCCAAUUGAUUAAGCAAAUCCAGCAUUCCAGUUUAUUCUGGAGGGUUAGAUUUCCUCAGCCUCCCAGCAUUCUUGUUGCUCUCUUUGUGCUCUUUCCAGUUGCUUUGCAUCUGCUUUUAUUUUCUAACAUGAAACCUGAAAAAGGACAGAAUAUUCCAGCUGAGAAUAUUCCAGCCAAAAUUAAAGGAAGGCAUUUGAAUAAACACCAACAGAUACUGUUCUGGGGCUCUCAUUUGGUCCAAAACGUUGAUGAUGGGAAGAUACCAUUCAUGGCUGUGAGGUGUCCUCUGGUGAGAACACAGAGAAAAACAAAAAGGAAGGGGAAGAAGUGGCAGAUCCAAGGAAACUUGGAACAGAGGGAUGGAAAGAAUCUGCAGAGGGCAGGCACCUAGGACAGAAGAUGCCAGAAGGGCAGCCCUGGUUUGUUGCUGUUUUGCUGAAGCAGGUACGGGAGAGGGGAAGAGAUGUGAGAAGAAAGAAAUGGGUGAUACGUGUUCCUGCCGGUUCCUUAUGAUGGAAGCAGAAAGAUUGCAGGAAAACCAGACCUAUGGUGUGAGCCUUUAUAGUCUUCUGAGAGGUGCAGUCCUCUGGGAUCUUGGAAGCUUUUCCCUUGGAAAUCUGUCUCUUUGAAGAGUUCCCUGCAGAGCAGAGGAGCCUCCCUGCCGAGGUGACAGUGUGUGCAGGCUUGGCCACACAAGGAUCAGUGCUGAGUCCUCCAAGCACUGUCUGACACAGGGAAUGUGCUGAGCUGGUGUGUGCUCCAGGCCCACAUUAAUUCACCCUCUGUUCCGUGGUUCUUCACGCUCCUGUGACCCGGAUGAAUUUACCAGGGAGCUGAGCAGGGUGUUCAGUUUUCCUGUCUGCAGUUCUUACACUUCUGCCCACCCUAAUCCAGUUCUUUGCACCAUGAUGCAAACUCUAAUUAUAAAUAAAAUCAUAGAACCUGCCUUCUCAA